UACGGGGGGGGCAAGCGUUGUUCGGAAUUACUGGGCGUAAAGGGCUCGUAGGCGGCCAACUAAGUCAGACGUGAAAUCCCUCAGCUUAACUGGGGAACUGCGUGUGAUACUGGAUGGCUUGGAUUUGGGAGAGGGAUGCGGAAUUCCAGGUGUAGCGGUGAAAUGCGUAGAUAUCUGGAGGAACACCGGUGGCGAAGGCGGCAUCCUGGACCAACACUGACGCUGAGGAGCGAAAGCCAGGGGAGCAAACGGG
rnacentral:rRNA from 1 species